AGGAGGGAGUUUCACGCGCGAGCUUGUGGGUUUAAAUUACCUGGAGAGGGAAGGGCGGAAGGGCCGAGACGCGAAGCGACCGCGAGCAAGUGGAAGACGAACGAAUGAAAGAAAGGAAAAGGAAUAGAAAAAAAGGGACAGAGCGACACACAGUCCCGAGCGGCUCGCGAAGCACACCGGCAGUCGCAUAAAGCAUUCCGUCGGGGACUUAACCGAAUUUUCGAGUCGCGGCAAAGUCGAACUCUGUCUAUUUUGUAUAGUGUGUGUAGGUGCGUUGAUCAAGUUGCAAGUUUCUACCAAGUUCAAGUGCAUUCCAUCAUGUGUGAUCCUGAUUGAAAUAAUACAGUGUCAACUGUGUCACAACUGUGUCUCGUCAGUUGUAUCGUCAGUUUGUGGAAAAGAGAAAUGCAUCGAAGACCACGCGUGAAAUAAUCUACGCACAAACAUAAACCCGGCUGGACCCACCGACAAUGUGUGUACGCGGAACAAUGUGUUCGACGGAUGCCACUACCGCCACCAACGCAGACCUCACACACAGCCAACGCUGCAUAGCGCCAGGAAUGCACGAAUAGGUAGGGAAGUGAAACCGUGAAAUAGACGAGUGAG